UACGAAGGGUGCAAGCGUUAAUCGGAAUUACUGGGCGUAAAGGGUUUGUAGGCGGCCUUGUAAGUCAGGUGUGAAAUCCCUCGGCUCAACCGAGGAAUGGCGCUUGAUACUGCACGGCUUGAGGGAGACAGGGGUAAGCGGAACUGAUGGUGGAGCGGUGAAAUGCGUUGAUAUCAUCAGGAACACCGGUGGCGAAAGCGGCUUACUGGGUCUCAUCUGACGCUGAGGAACGAAAGCUAGGGGAGCGAACGGG
rnacentral:rRNA from 1 species